AUUGAACGCUGGCGGCAUGCCUAACACAUGCAAGUCGAACGGCAGCACAGCAGUAGCAAUACUGUGGGUGGCGAGUGGCGGACGGGUGAGGAAUACGUCGGAAUCUGCCCAGUCGUGGGGGAUAACUAGCCGAAAGGUUAGCUAAUACCGCAUACGACCGAGAGGUGAAAGCGGGGGACCGCAAGGCCUCGCGCGAUUGGAUGAGCCGACGUCGGAUUAGCUAGUUGGCGGGGUAAAGGCCCACCAAGGCGACGAUCCGUAGCUGGUCUGAGAGGAUGAUCAGCCACACUGGAACUGAGACACGGUCCAGACUCCUACGGGAGGCAGCAGUGGGGAAUAUUGGACAAUGGGCGCAAGCCUGAUCCAGCAAUGCCGCGUGUGUGAAGAAGGCCUCGGUU
rnacentral:rRNA from 1 species